rnacentral:rRNA from 1 species
CCUACGGGAGACAGCAGUGGGGAAUUUUGGACAAUGGGCGCAAGCCUGAUCCAGCUAUUCCGCGUGUGGGAAGACGGCCUUCGGGUUGUAAACCACUUUUGUAGAGAACGAAAAGUCUGUUGAUAAUACCGAUAGAUGAUGACGGUACUCUAAGAAUAAGCACCGGCUAACUACGUGCCAGCAGCCGCUGUAAUACGUAGGGUGCGAGCGUUAAUCGGAAUUACUGGGCGUAAAGGGUGUGCAGGCGGGUUUGCAAGAUGGAUGUGAAAGCCCCGGGCUUAACCUGGGAAAGCCAUACAUGACUGCAAGACUAGAGUGCGUCAGAGGGGGGUGGAAUUCCAAGUGUAGCAGUGAAAUGCGUAGAUAUUUGGAAGAACACCGAUGGCGAAGGCAGCCCCCUGGGACGCAACUGACGCUCAUACACGAAAGCGUGGGGAGCAAACAGGAUUAGAUACCCGUGUAGUC